GGUUUUAUAAGGGGGAGUUUCCCUGCACAAGCUGCCUUCUCCUGUCUGCCACCACGUGAGAUGUGCCUUUCACCUUCCACUAUGAUUGUGAGGCCUCACCAGCCAUGUGGAACUAGUUCAAGAUUUCAACAUUUUAAGAUAAUCUGAAAAAAAUUGGAAUGUGCCCCCAGCUGCGUGAGUAACUAAAGAUAACAGUAACCAAGUCUCAUUGGAUGACCCAGUUCAGCUAAAAGCUUCUCUUACAGAUGAUGCUAUAUUCUUGAGAGGAGCUUAGAGUGACUGUGUGGUUCACAAACUGUGCAAAUCAAAAUGUAAAUUCUUAGCUUAUCUAAUAAUUGAUUUAUUGUGUAAGGUACAAUAAAUGGUUUAACCACUCUGAAAUUUAUUUUCAAAAUAAAAUGAACUCUAGAUGUAUUCCUAACAGAUGCAGAGAAACUCACACUAGGAUGCCUUGAGGUUUUCUGAGAUGUUUAUUUAUCCUUUGUUUCAAUAGUGAGAACUAAUUAGAAUAAAAUAAAAUUAAUGAGAGCUAAUUAGAAUAAA
rnacentral:lncRNA from 1 species